rnacentral:rRNA from 1 species
UACAGAGGUCCCAAGCGUUGUUCGGAUUCACUGGGCGUAAAGGGUGCGUAGGCGGUCGGGUAAGUCUGGCGUGAAAUCUCCAAGCCUAACUUGGAAACUGCGUUGGAUACUAUCCGGCUCGAGGAAUGGAGGGGAGACUGGAAUACUUGGUGUAGCAGUGAAAUGCGUAGAUAUCAAGUGGAACACCAGUGGCGAAGGCGAGUCCCUGGACAAAACCUGACACUGAGGCACGAAAGCUAGGGGAGCAAACAGG